rnacentral:lncRNA from 1 species
AAGUAAACCACUAAGAAUAUAAAAUAAUUAAAAUUACUGCUGCGAUGAUGAACAAGUGAUGGAUUUGUGAAAAUUCUAGAAUUUCAAAAUAAUGGUGAAUUAAUUUUAAUUAUUUACUGUUUCUGAUAAUUUUUUAUUUUUAACUUAGAAAUAAAAAUUAGGCUAAAAUAAAAUUAUAAUAAAAUAAUAAGAUAAUCAAGAUCAAUGUGGUAAUUAGUUUUCUGGGAUUUCUGGAAAUUUUGAGUUUUUUUAAGUGAAUUAAUUCCAAUUAUUUAUUAUUUCUAGCAUUCUUUUAUUAUUUAGCUAAAAUUAGGGAUUUGGUCAAAGUAAAAUUACUAAAAUAAUAAAAUACUAAAAAUCAAUAUGGAGAAUGAAUUUCGGUUAUUUCUGAAAUUUUUAAAACUUUAGGUGAAUUAAUUUUAAUUAUCCACUAUUUUUAGUAAUUUUUGAUAUUUAGUCUAAAAAUAGAAAUUAGGCUAAAAUAAAAUCACUAAAAAUAAUAAAAUAAUCAGAAAUAAUAUGAGGAAUGAUUUUCUGAUGGUUAUGUAAUUUAUUUGAGGCUUGGAUGAUAUUUUGAAUAUUGUCUAAAUGAUGACAAAUAAAAAGUUAAGCAAGAAUUUAAGUUAAAAAAUCUUGGGUGAUGUAAUUAAAUUGAAUUAGAUAGAAUAUGAAUGAAAAUGGCUGGACUUGAUGGAUUUAGUGUUUAGAAAUGGUUGAAAUUCACUAAGUAAUUUCGGUCUAUGCUAAAAUAUUAAUGGCAAAUAGAUUUUAAUGAAAAUAGUUAGAAUUUGUGGGCUAAUUUUUGGUUUCAAUGUGUUCAUGGAUGUGUUUAUAGUGUCAAAUUGAUGUGUUAGGUACAUGUCAGAUAUUAUAAAUUGUAGCCAGAAUUAACAAUGGCUUAUUCGAUCUUGUAGAUUGUAUGUAGAAUGUGAAAAUUGAUAUGGAUGUGUAUGGAAAGUGUAUGUAAUGUAUUUCUUAGCGUGAACGAUAUUUUGCACUUAA